rnacentral:rRNA from 1 species
GAGUGCCGUCCGCUGAGGAUGGCUUUUCCUUGGUGUAACUAGCCGGGGGAAUAAGGAGAGGGCAAGACUGGUGUCAGCCGCCGCGGUAAUACCAGCUCUCCGAGUGGUGGGGAUGAUUAUUGGGCUUAAAGCGUCCGUAGCCGGCUUAGCAAGUCUCCNGUUAAAUNCAACGACCUAAUCGUUGAGCCGCGGGAGAUACUGCUGGGCUAGGAGGCGGGAGAGGCCGACGGUNNUNCCGGGGUAGGGGUGAAAUCCUGUAAUCCCGGGNGGACCACCAGUGGCGAAGGCUGUCGACUAGAACGCGCUCGACGGUGAGGGACGAAAGCUGGGGGAGCGAACCGGAUUAGAUACCCGGGUAGUCCCAGCNGUAAACGAUGCGGGCUAGGUGUUGGGGUGGCUACGNGCCACUUCAGUGCCGCANGGAAGCCAUUAAGCCCGCCGCCUGGGGAGUACGGCCGCAAGGCUGAAACUUAAAGGAAUUGG